rnacentral:misc_RNA from 1 species
AAUGAGGGGUUUACUCGUUAGUUACGUUCCUGCAUUUUGUAAUUUUGAAGGAUACUUCAACCAAAAACUAAUGGUAUGUUAUUUUCAAUUGUGUUAGUCCAUUGUUAUGUAUGUAUUGGAUUGCAAAUAUUUCAUACUGAUUGUUUUCUCUUUAUAUAACAACAACAGUUUACCUUGUCAUCAUCUAAGUAAGUUAGUAAUUUUGGCAAACUAUGUCUACCACUCAUCAUCAUGCUAUUGCCCAGUGAGAGUAUUCACAUUUUGCUUACCACUGUGUACUAGUCAUCAGACUUUUAUUGCUAUCAAUGUCAUGAACCUUGAUGCAGCUUGAUGCUGAUACUGUAGUUUACCAUUGUUUUUCAUCUGAGUGAGUGCAGCAUAUUCAUAUAUGUUGGGAAACAUCCACUUUUUCAUCAUCGAACAGUCAAACACUCCAAGACCCAAAAUCAUCAAACAUCUACCAAUCCAUCAAUUUUUCAGAAGACUUUUUUUGCACUCUUAUUUAGCCAAAGGAGAACUGCAAAUAUUUACCUUCCUUGAGCACAACACUGCCGUUUCGACAAUAUCUUCAGUCUCUCUCCAGUGGACCACACACUUGGACUUGCAUUUGCCGUCUAUCCCGAAGCCGUAGCUCGAUUACCCAUCGCUCCGUUAUGGUCAAUCCUGUUUUUCGUCAUGUUACUUACACUUGGAAUCGGAACGCAAUUUACCGUUUUGGAGACGGUUGUUACAACAAUCGUUGACUAAUGGCCACACAAGCUACGCGUGGGUACUGCUAGCCCGUGCCACUGUCAUGUUUCUACUUGGGCUUAGAAUGUGCACAAAUGGAGGCAUGUACGUACGUCUUACAGUUGAUCGAUACAUAUGCAGCUACGUUUUCCGCCCUGAUCGUCGGAAUGGCUGAAGUAUGCUUCAUCGCAUGGCAUUAUGGUAUCGAUCGAUUCCUUGACGACAUCAAACUAAUGCUCGAGCAUGACGCACCACCACGCUGGUAUUGGCGAUUCGUUUGGAAAUUUUUCACGCCCGUCAUCAUCGUCGCCAUUUUGGUGUUCACUUUGGUGGACUUCCGAACACUUACGUACGGCGAUUACACUUAUCCUUUGGAGGCAACCAUCGUAGGAUUUCUCAUUGCGUUGUCUUCUGUGGCCAUGGUUCCAAUUAUGGCAAUCUACAAGGUUUUCCAAUUGGAUGGGCCCAUUCUAGAGAAGAUCGUCAUGACUGGAACGAAAUGACGAAUGACGCCAUCGCCAUCACCAUCACCACCGUCUUCGCCUUCGCCUUCGCCUUCGCCUUCGCCUUCGCCUUCGCCUUCGCCUUCGCCUUCGCCUUCGCCUUCGCCUUCGCCUUCGCCUUCGCCUUCACGUUUACCCUUCACAGAAAAGUCGAUCACAAUUGGAUGUGGUUCAGCAAACAGCCCACGGCGAUGGUGGGAUUUCACCGUGGAUCGUCCUCGUGGUAUUGUUUUGUUUUGCAUUGUAUCUUGUAUGUAUAAGUUAACCCGUUGGCUGCCACCCCGUUUGCGUCCCAUUUUUUUUGUAGCUUUUAGGGAACCGGGCGCUGUUCUGCCCCAUGGCCAUGGGGGGAACAGUCGCCGCGCCUAAAGGCUUUGUGCCUUUAGGCGCCGUAGGCAAUGCACCAGUAGGGACUUCUCUUUGUCGGUGCGGUGAUAGAUUCCUGGGGUGUGCAUUCCCGGAAUGGUUUCUAUUGCCGUGCCAGCCCGGACUUGUCUUCGGACAAGUCCCACCUUGUUCGUGAUCCUUCAGACGCGAUGCGUAGCUAAUGUAGUUUAAGCAACCUACGGGUUGCAUGGCCUGGCAGCCAACGGGUUAACUUAAUUAAGUGUGUAUGUUUGUAUGUAUGUAUGUUUAUGUAUUUUACAUUUAUAUAAUAUGUAUUUUGUGUUGUAUUAAA